AACUAAGAGUGGGACACUUAACUUACUGAACCACCGAGGUGCCCCUCUGUGUCUCUUCUCUUAAAACAAUAAUUUUAUUUGCCUUUCUCUUCUAUAUAAAGUUUUUCUGAAUUUUCUUCCAAACCUGUCCAAUUUUUAACUUUAGCAAUCACAAUUUUAAUUUUCUUUAAAGAUUUAUUGAUUUAUUCAUGAGAGACAGAGAGAGAGAGAGAGAGGCAGAGACACAGGCAGAGGGAGAAGCAGGCUUCCCCGCAGGGAGCCCAACGUAGGACUCAAUCCUGGAUCCUGGGAUCACGCCCUAAAGCCGAAGACAGACACUCAACUACUGAGCCACCCAGGCAUCCCCACAUUUUUAAUUUCUAAGAGGUUUGGAAAAUUGCUCAUAUUUGUGGAUGUAAUUAUUUUGACACAUCCCUUGUCAGAUGACAGUGUUACUUUGUUAGCUUGUUUUAGAUUCCUUGGUGUUCCCUGAAUUGUUUCCUCUGGGAUAAUUUCUUUAUUUUGGUCUUUGUCUUUUAUCUUCUGUUAUUUUUCCAACUCUGGUGAUCCUUGAUUGGCUCUUCACAUCUAAGACUAUGGCAGUGGAACACUAUCAGAAAUUGUGUUCCUGGGGAAGUUUGUCAACUGGUAGGCUUCACUUUGGGGUGUUGAGUAGGAAUCCUAACUUGUACGUUGGGUGGUUACUAAGGGCAGAAUGUAGGAUUCUUUUUUUGGAAUCAUUAAUUUCUUUAGAAAAUACCCUCUAACUUUUUGCCUGGAGAAUCCAUACCCUGUUGUUCAGAUAGGGGUAUUAACUCUGUAUACAGACUUUCAAUUAAUCCUUUUUUUUAAACCAGUCUCAUAGCUCACUACAGCCCUAAACUGUAUCUGGGUUUCUGCAUCCAGAGCACCCUUAUGGUCUGUGGUGCCUGCAGUUUUCCUCCCUGACUACAUCACAGGUUCUUUUUUUUUUUUUUUUUCUUUUCAAUAGUGAAUGAUGCAGUUAUUGAUUGUAUCCCUACCUGGUCCCCUGUAUAACCAUUGAGUUAUAUGUAAGAUGCUUUGUAAGCGCCAGCAAUGAGACUGGUUUUGGGGCUGAUGUGAAAACAGAUGACAAGUUCUCUUAAACUUGACUCUUGAUUCCCUGCCUUCGGCUGAUUGCCUCAAUCUGAAAAGAAUUUGCAAUGUGUAAAUGUUUCAGGAUUGUAACCAUUUGGAUACACACUUAAAAUUAGUUCCGUUAUCAUUAUUUUCAUCUUUAAGAGUCACGUAAGAAUUCCAAAUGUUUUGUUCAAAUGCCAUGAUUAUUUUAAAUGCAAAGGUUUUCCUUCAAAGCUGCCUCUCUUCACAACAGUAGAACUCUGGCAGUGAAUUUAGUGGUGUAGGAUUUGAUGAAACUGUGGCUAAUUUCUGGUUGCAACCUGGAAUUUAAAACAGAAUGAUUUAUUUUAAGACCAUUCACUCCUAAGUUUUAACAUGCUGUCAAUUGUGUACAAUAAAAUAAUUUGAGGGAUUUAAGACAAAGGAAUAUAAAUAAAAGAUGUGAGAGAAAAACAGUCAAAAGGUUAUCUCUGUGUUUCUCUCUGAUCAAGAGGCAUAUCACUGAAUUAAUGCCCAAAUGUAAAUAAAAUUAAAUCAAUCAUAAAUUUGCAUUUUGAUGUAUUAAUUAUAGACCCCCAAACCCUUUAACAAUAUAUUAUUAAUGGGCCAGUUUGUAUGAUGUUUAUAUCAAACUUCAGUUGUUACCAUCACUAAAUUCAUACCCAUUGGAGUUCCCUUGUAUUUUAUAACCUCCUAUCUACAAUCACAGACAGUCUUUGAAAAAUAAAAUGAAUCAUUAGUUGAGAACUACAGGGAAAAUUUAACCAACUUGCCAAAUCCCAUUUAUUCCAACUACUUUAAUAAUAUAGUAUCAUUUAAUAUUAUACUAAUUUAAGAGAUUUUCAAGAAUAACUUUGAUUAUACGUGAUUAUUACCUUAUGCACUGGUUUGAGAACUUAAUCUCAGUAUAAGAUACAAUUCCAUUGCAUUAGGGUUUUUUUGUUGUUGUUUACAAAUAUUUAUUAUGGCACAUGUUAAUUAAUUCUUUGAUCAACAACAAUAAUAAUGUAAUAGCUAACAUUUUUUUGAAGGCUUAUUAAUGUUACGUACAAGCAAAAUGCUAAAGUCUUUACAUGGAUAUCUCAGUUCUGGUAGGUAGAUACUAUUUUUACCCUUUUUGCAGAUGAGAGAACUGAAGGUCAGACUGCUACCGAGAUCAUGUAUUUUAUUCUUUUAAGUAUUUGGCGCCAGGGUGAGUAAUACAAGGGCAAGUUUUGUCUGAGGGGCCAUCCUAUCCUACAGUGCUGUAAGUUCUCGAAGAAUAGAAUCUGCUUUCCUUAUACUAUGUUUUGUACAUAGUCUGUGCUUGAUAAAUAUUUCCUAAAUAAAUGAACGAACCCCUAUGUCCUGAGAAAGAAUUUUUACUGAGGAAGAAUUUCUUGAGCAAUAACUGAUCUAUCACGAUCUGUAUGUAAUCUGUUUCUCACCAAUUCCCAAAAAGAAAUAAGAACUGAACGUGAACUGCAAAUCAGUGUUCAUCAAGACGUAAGUCCUACCCUUAAAAUCUGAUCACAAAGACUGUCAGAUGGUCAAGAGAAAGAACCCCACACCUUGAUACACAACUUAAUGUCGAUCUUAUUCUGUGAGAAGCCCUUCCCUGCAAAGACUCCUUUAAGGAAUCAGUUUCUUGAUUCAAACAAAAGCUUGAGUCAGCAGCCACUGCUGUGUUCUCUCAAAGCUCAGAUUUGUGACCUCUCUGCCGAGUCUUUUGCAGACCAGACCUGCCUGAUUGUUGCUUACAAAAUAGGCAUCAAGAAAGUAUCUUUCAAAUUCUCUACUGUUAACAGCUAUCCUCAACUGCGUGAACUGCAGAGUCUAAACUUGGCUGCAUGGUGGAAGAAUCUGGGAGUUUUUUAAAUUAAUGAUGCCUGGGACCACUCCCUUCCCACCAGGAGAUCCUGGUUUGAUUGGUCUGGGUCUAUCCUGGGCGUCUGGAUUGCUAAAAGUGAUGACACUGAAGUUAAGCACCUUUUAGCCUAACCACUGCCAUGGCCUACGGAUGCACCAUAUUCGAUCUCUGCCCCACCCGACACCCCACCCUGCUACUUUUUCCUUCUCCACAGUUAGAGCAGUCUUUUCAAAAUGUACUUUUAAUCAUGGCACUUCAACCCUCCUUUAAACUUUUCAGCGGUUGCCCAUUAAUCUCAGACUAGAGGGCACCUGGGUGGCUCAGUGGAUGAGCAUCUGCCUUUGGCUCAGGUCGUGAUCCCCAGGUCCUGGGAUCGAGUCCCGCAUCUGGUUCCCCACAGGGAGCCUGCUUCUCCUUCUGCCAGUGUCUCUGCCUCUCUCUGUGUGUCUUUCGUGAAUAAAUAAAUGAAAUCUUAAAAAAAAAAUCUCAGACUAGAGGAUGCUAGAGCUGAAAAUGACCUGUAAACACCCUCUCCCCUUCCUUGUUCCUAUGUUUACAUCUCUCUAGUCCCUCCCUACUCCACCCUUCUGGAUUUCUGUGCUUUAUCACAUUCUUAAUUUUUUUGGUUCCUCAAACACGUCCUAUUCCUGUCGCAGGGUUUAUGCACAUGCCACACUUGCUGUGAAGCUCUUCCCCCCCACUCCUUGCCUAGUGAACUUUUAGCUCAUCAUUUCCUCAGGGAAACCUUUUCUGAUCUAUUAAAUGCUCCUAUAUAGCACCACAUAAACUCUGCUUCAUAGCAUUUAUGACAGGUGGAUUUUAUGCUGAUUUCUAUCCUGGUUCCCCGUUCUUCUUGAUUGUAGAAACUUGUGUCUGUUUUUGCUUGUCAUAGUAUUGCCAAAACCUUGGACAAUGCCUGGCUUUCAAAUUAUUUACUGAAAGAAUACAGACAAAUGAAUGAAAAUGCUCUCUGCAGCAGAUCUAUCACCAAGUCCAAUUGAUGUCACCUCCAAAAUAUCUCUGGAAUCCAUUCUUUUUCAUCUUCUGAAGCUCUAAGCCACCAUCAUCUCUGUUCUAAACUAGUAAACAGCUUCCCCACUGGUCUGCAUGCCCUACCUCCAAACAAGGUCAUAGCAGCAGCCCAAGUGAUCUUUUAAAAAUACAAGUAAUAAGUCACUCUUUUUGGAACCCUUCCCUUUGUUCUUUGACUGGAAUUCAGGCACCACACAUACCCUCACUGACUACACAGCAGCUCUGCUGGGCUCCUUUUGUCCCUCAAACAUGUCAAGGCUUUCCCCACUUUCAAACUUUUGCACUUACUGCUCCUUUCUCCUGAAUGCUCUUUAUGUGACUCAUUCCCAUAUUCCAGGGCUCAGCUAAAAUUGUAUAGAGGUUUUCCCUGACUGCCCCAUUAAAAGUAGCCUCCCUUAGUGACCCUCAUCACCCUGCUUAUUUUCCUUACAGCACCACUACAGUCUAUAAUUUCAAAUUUUUUAAAAAUGUGCUUGGUUAUGCUCUGUACUCUGCCCUUCCAAAGAAUGUCAGCUCCACGAGAGCAAGUAUCUUGUCUGUGCUGGUCACUGUACCCCAGCAGACAGCAUAGAGGCUAGUUCAUAAUGAGAACUCAAUGAAUGAAUUGUCUUAUGGUUCCCAGCCUCCAAGAUGGGCCCCAGUAAUUCUUCUUCCCUGGUAUCCGUGCCUGAUGUAAUUCCCUUGCACAGUGCCUCAGAGCUGGCUGUGUGUCACUAGUAGGGCACCUCAGAAACAACAGUGUGUGACUUCUGCAUCUAGGUCAUAAGAGGCAUUGCAAUUUCCCCCUUCAUCUUGGAUUGCCCAUUCUAGGGGAAGCUGCAUGCCUGCAGGGCACUUGGCACCCCUGUGGGUUGGCCACUUGGACCACAAAGGCCCCCCAUCACCAGCCAGCGUGUGAGUGACACCCAUGUAAAUGAGCCAUCUUGGAAGUGGCUCCUCCAGCCCCAGUCAAGCCUUCAGAUGGUGUAGCACUUGGUGACAUCUGGCUGAUACCUUGAAAGACUCUGAACCAGAACUGCCCCGUUAAAAAAUAAAAAUAAUCAUUUAUCUUGUAAAUCACUAGGUUUUGGAAUGAUAUGUUACUCCACAAGAGAUAGCUAAUACGCACUCAGUGAUUCAAUGAAUAGAGCAGUGACUAUUUCAUCAUAAAUUACCUCUUGAAUUGGUCAGGCUUCAGACCUCACUGAGGAGGUGACUAUCUGACCCUGUUUCCUGCCUGCACUUUCUAGCACCUUAUUCUCAGUCAUCCACAGUCGCCAACCUCACACCUCUUCUGCCAAAACCAUUAUUUCUAUUAGAGGCACCAACAAUCCUGCUAUAUAGAAUCAGAAGGCUGAGAAGUGAGCUUUAACUUCCCUCAUGUGAAUUCUCUCUUAAUACCACCCUUUCUCACUCCAAAUGCUACACCACAUGAAUCUUCUUUCCAUUUCCCAUGAAGCCUCCUCAGUCCAAUCCAAGAGCAAGGGUCGGGAGUAUGACCUAUCUGGAUGACCUGGAUUGACGACUUACAAGCUGAGUAAGUUUCCUAAAAUCUCUAAGACUCGGUUUUCUCUUCUGCUACAUGCAGUAAAUAAUAAUACCUCCUUCAUGGGGGCUAUUAUGACCCAUUGCAACCGUGAGUGUAUGUAUACACAUGUGCGCAAAUCACUUAGCACAGUUCUGAGCACGUGACAGAUAUUGUAAAUCCUACCAGCUAUCCUAAAAUAUAGAGCCUUUGAAUCUCUACUUGACAGAGGCACAGAUCGGUUCAGAGAAGCCAAGUGUCUUGCCCGACAUGGCAGAGCUAGAAUGUGCAGGUCUGCAGCCCCCCAAGGCCUGAGUCCUGCCCACAUUCCCACAGCUUCAUCCUGCCUGACUGCCAAUGUCGUCAUGUCUUCUCCAACCCAUCCUGAGCAGGCUGACAGGCCAACAGCCUCCGGGUUCUCCCCCCGUCCUAAGUUGGCUCUGAUUGUCCAAAUUCAACUUUCCAGAUUCCCUCCUCGAGCCCCUCUUCAUUUCCAGCCAUUCUGUCCUACUCUGCUGCCACAGGUGAUUCCCCACUUCCUCCUUCUGCCCGGCCCAGGCGGGCCAGCGUCCUCAUGUCUGGAGUCCUUCCUGCUCUCCCACGCUCCACAAGCCUUGCUAUACCCCUUACCCUGUCCCUGGCUGCAGUGUACACCACUUCUCCUCUGCCUCAGACCUCGUCCACUGGGGCCCAGUUUGGGUCCCCAUGGCUACAGGUUCUAGAUUCCAUCUUCCUGUUCUACUAGUUCCUCCUAUCUCUGAUAGGCUGGUUGUUGCCUAGCUUCCCGAUUAGAUUGGAAACUCCCCAUGGCUGAGGUCAAAACUUGGACUUGCAUUCACCUCCUCCCAUGGCACCCAGCACGGUGCUGGGGACACAGUAGACAGUGAAUAUCGAACUGUAUUGCUAAACACCUGGUUCUAUAGAUUUGGAAAGAAUUGGGGAUUGUCAUCUAAAACUAGCAGGGGGAAAACCUUUUGUGUCUGUCUAACUGGAUUCCCUCACAGUGGAGGAAUUCUAAAGAAGGUCCUAUUUACUAUCACUUUGAUGGCCUUGGUCUGAACUCUGCUUCUCCUGCGGACUGCAGUGUCAUCUGAGGCUGCUUAAUUAAUUGGCUCUGCAACUUCAUCUCCCUUAUUGUAAAAUGGGGAAAGUGAUAGCACCUACCUGAGAGCUGUCAGAAGGACAGAGUAUGUGUCUGCCACCACAAAAGAGCCCCAGAAAGAGUGGGGCUUACUCAUUUAGAAAGCAGCAACUCCCCCCUCCUCUCUAAAAUUCAAAACACCAAGAACGACAGGAAUACAAGUAAUGUCUACAUUGCUGUCUGCCUGUAUACUCUCUGGGUCACCUCUGGGGGGAGGAGGGUUGGGCCCUUCAUACUCACCUGUUACAAAAUACAGGGAACGUAGAAUUUUUGAAACAUACCUUCAAAUGCCAAAUAAUUGUCAUAAAGCCAUUUAAAAUGGGAGAACAAGAGGGAAAAAAGUUCCCUCAACAGUAUGUUUAGGCACAAUAAGGAAUUGUGCUAACAUAGGCUAAACAAAGGGCUCAGUGAAAAAUAGCCCCCCUCAAGCCUGCUUCCUACCAAGGAUGUUUGUGCAUUUUUAUCCUUGAAUUUUCUAAGGACUAGGAUAAAGAGGAGAGGAGGAAGCAGCCCUUGGGCCAGCCUCUACAUUCUUCCUGCUUCUAGACACAUGCACACCCUCCCCCAACUUGACUGAUCCCAGACACCCUCCCUGAUGGCGGUGAGCCCAUGAGAGAGGCUCCUGUGAGGCAAAGUUGAUCUCAAGAGAGUCAGAGCAGUGGACCUGACUUACCCAUGUUGUAAAAUGGCAGAGAAUAGUCUCUUUGAUAGGUGGUUUCCUUAUACCAUUGUUCCGCAGGCUGCAAAUAUCUUCGAAAACAAAUAUAUCGAAUGAGAGUUUGUUGGUCAAAUUGAGGCUGAUGUUGACUUUCUCUCUUGGGUGGAAUUGCCAAGUCUAUGAGAUGUCUAAAUAAAAAUAAAAAAGAGCUUGCUGAACACCCAGAAGAAGAAAAGCAUUCCAUGUUCUCAUCAGCUGACGUCCACUCUUUGGAAGUGGCCAGGAGGUUACUGGCAAGACUUCAUAGCUCCAGGGUUAGCCCAGCAGUUUUCAGGAGGUGACUCAGCAAUCCUGGUCCACUGUUCCCUGGCAUUAGCAUCCUCCUCCUCCCCAGUCACAGCUUAUAGAAGGUGACCUGCAUUGAAACUUCCACUGGGUCUGCUCAUGCGUGGCUACUUCCUAUACUCCAGAUCUCCCCAGUAUCCGCUCCCAUUGUAAUUUUUUUUUAUGGACGUUUGGUUCCCUCGAGGAAUCAAUGCUUUCUUUUGACCAGACUCACCCCUAUGGUUCAAAUUGGUGUUGGACAAACCUGAAAUCAGUUCCAGCCUUCCUGUACCUCCACUCAGAUAAAAACCCUCUGAAGAUAAAGGUAAAGAAGAAUCAAAAUGUAAUGGGGGGGAUCCCUGGGUGGCGCAGCGGUUUGGCGCCUGCCUUUGGCCCAGGGCGCGAUCCUGGAGACCUGGGAUCGAAUCCCACGUCGGGCUCCCGGUGCAUGGAGCCUGCUUCUCCCUCUGCCUGUGUCUCUGCCUCUCUCUCUCUCUCUUUCUGUGACUAUCAUAAAUAAAUAAAAAUUUAAAAAAAUGGAAAAAAAAAUGUAAUGGGGGAAGUAUCUUCAUGCCCUUGUGAGGGUACACAUUCCCUGGUGCAACUUGUUGGAGAAUGAUUUGGCGAUGAGUAUUAAUAGCUUUAAAAUGGGCCUAUACUCUGUCGCAACCACUCCAGAGAUGUACGUGCUCAUUAAUGGAUGAAUGGAUAGAGACGUUGUGUAUGUAUCUAAAACGGAAUACUAUUCAGCCAUAAAAAGAAGGAAAACCUGCCAUUUGCUGCAACAUGGAUGGACCUUGAGAACAUUGUGCUAAGUGAAGUAAGUCAGAUAAAGAAAGACAAGUAUUGUAUAAUCUCACUUAUACAUGGAAUAUAAAAAAAACUAAAAUGCAUAGAAAGAACAGAAUAGUGGUUACCUGGCUACCAGGGGCAGAGUUGGGGGAUGGGGGAAAUGAGUGAGUCAAAAGGGACAAAAUUCCAGAUAAAUAAGUUCUAGAAAUGUUAUGUACUGCAUGAUGAUAAUAGUUAAUAAUACUGUAUAGUAUAGUUGAAAGGUACUAAGACAGGUAGAUCUUAAAAGUUCUCAUCAUGAGUGAGAAAACUUGCAACUAUACAAGGUGAUAGAUAUUAAAUAAAUUUAUCAGUGAUCAUUUUACAAUAUGUACAUAUAGUAAAUCAUUAUAUUGUACACCUUGAAUGAAUACAGUGUCAUGUCAACUGUAUCUCAAUAAACUAGGGGAAAGAGGGGGUUUCAAAAUAUUGUUCAUCCCAUUUUGUGUAGAUCUGGAAUAUUCUGAUGAUAGUCUGUCUCUGAGUGAUGACAUUAUAGGUAAUUACAAUUCGGUUUUUAUUAAUGUUUUCUGAAUGUUGCAAUAAACAUGCAUAUUUAAAAA